UCCGGACUCCUACGGGAGGCAGCAGUGGGGAAUAUUGCACAAUGGGGGAAACCCUGAUGCAGCGACGCCGCGUGAGUGAAGAAGUAAUUCGUUAUGUAAAGCUCUCUCAGCAGGGAAGAAAAUGACGGUACCUGAGUAAGAAGCCCCGGCUAACUACGUGCCAGCAGCCGCGGUAAUACGUAGGGGGCAAGCGUUAUCCGGAUUUACUGGGUGUAAAGGGAGCGUAGACGGUUAUGCAAGUCUGAAGUGAAAGCCCAAGGCUCAACCAUGGGACUGCUUUGGAAACUGUAAAACUGGAGUGCAGGAGAGGUAAGCGGAAUUCCUAGUGUAGCGGUGAAAUGCGUAGAUAUUAGGAGGAACACCAGUGGCGAAGGCGGAUUGCUGGACAGUAACUGACGCUGAGGCGCGAAAGCGUGGGGAGCAAACAGGAUUAGAUACCCGUGUA
rnacentral:rRNA from 1 species